ACCCAUCUGACGAGUCCCAAAUAGGACGAAAAGCGCAUCCUGGAU
rnacentral:hammerhead_ribozyme from 1 species